GGCACCCUUCAUUAAAAUUAGCAACAAUGCCUUUAAUUUUAACACAUUCAAUAAAAGGCAGUUUGAAAUUAAAUAUCUAAGGGACGCUACAGUUUUAUUUCCGGCGUGUUAUAUUUCUCAAGUAGUGCGUUUUUUUUUUUGGGGCCACUUCAACCUUGUUUUUCGCUUCUAGUGCUACGAACGGAUUCUCACACCUGUUCUUUUUUAGAUGCAAAUGGAAAAUCACAAAUGUGCAUACUGAUGAAACCGGAAGACAGCUAUUUCAAUUUCAGAAAUAAAAGAGGACAAAACCGGACACCCACCGCAUCAGCAAUUAUAUCGUAUCAGUGUAAUUACUUCAAAUGCCUUAUAACCGUCAUAUGGCUUCUCUAGGGUUUCUGAAGGCCGUCGGAUCACGAAACAAAAUCGAUGAUUCUCUUCAUUUCUACCCCACUUAAGAUAUCGGUGUUUCUCGUACCUCGAGGUUGGGCACCAUGAGAAGAUCGGAUAUCUUGGUCCUCUCGUCGAUCAGACUGUUCCAGUCCAGCAUGUCGAUGGUGCUGAUGUGAGAAAGAAGACCUACACUCAGCAUGAGCGGUGUCUUUACCUGCAGCUGCUCGAGGUCCAGUUUCCGCUCCAGGACCUCGCGGCCGCCGUUCCCCUGCUGCGCCGCUAGGAAACUGAAGAAAUGUUUCCACUUCACCAGCACCUCGGAAAAUUGCAGCUAGAUCACAGGAGAGAAGAGAAAAGAAAAGGGGGAAGGAAAAACAAAAAAAAACCAAGAACCCUCAGAUUUACCGACGUGAAAAUCUUCCCAGCACGCCAACCAGCUUUCUGCGGUAAUUCAACGCCGUGAUUCACAUGACAUUUCCAUUCCUACUGGAACAAUUAUCUGGAACAGAGACAUAGGAACCGUUUAUCUGGAACCGCCAUAAAGGCCCGUAGUUCCUAACAGAAACACACAGGCGUGUAAAAGGAGCGCAGUCCUUUUUGUCUAGGAGAGUGGCAACAGGAGCAAGGUCAUUCUGCAACAUUUAACCUUUGCUUUGGUGUUGAUAAACGUGUCAAUCUGGACAUGAUUAGCACUUUUUGCU